UACGUAGGGGGCUAGCGUUGUCCGGAAUCAUUGGGCGUAAAGAGCGUGUAGGCGGUCCGGUAAGUCCGCUGUGAAAGUCGGGGGCUCAACCCUCGAAUGCCGGUGGAUACUGUCGGGCUAGAGUACGGAAGAGGCGAGUGGAAUUCCUGGUGUAGCGGUGAAAUGCGCAGAUAUCAGGAGGAACACCAAUUGCGAAGGCAGCUCGCUGGGACGUAACUGACGCUGAGACGCGAAAGCGUGGGGAGCAAACAGG
rnacentral:rRNA from 1 species